GAUGAACGCUGGCGGCGUGCCUAAUACAUGCAAGUCGAGCGAACGGACGAGAAGCUUGCUUCUCUGAUGUUAGCGGCGGACGGGUGAGUAACACGUGGAUAACCUACCUAUAAGACUGGGAUAACUUCGGGAAACCGGAGCUAAUACCGGAUAAUAUUUUGAACCGCAUGGUUCAAAAGUGAAAGACGGUCUUGCUGUCACUUAUAGAUGGAUCCGCGCUGCAUUAGCUAGUUAGUAAGGUAACGGCUUACCAAGGCAACGAUGCAUAGCCGACCUGAGAGGGUGAUCGGCCACCCGGGAACUGAGACACGGUCCAGACUACUACGGGAGGCAGCAGUAGGGAAUCUUCCGCAAUGGGCGAAGGCCUGACGGAGCAACGCCGCGUGAGUGAUGAAGGUCUUCGGAUCGUAAAACUCUGUUAUUAGGGAAGAACAUAUGUGUAAGUAACUGUGCACAUCUUGACGGUACCUAAUCAGAAAGCCACGGCUAACUACGUG
rnacentral:rRNA from 1 species